rnacentral:rRNA from 1 species
GAUCCUGGCUCAGGAUGAACGCUAGCUACAGGCUUAACACAUGCAAGUCGAGGGGCGAGCAUGAACUUAGCUUGCUAAGUUUGAUGGCGACCGGCGCACGGGUGAGUAACACGUAUCCAACCUUCCGUUUACUCAGGGAUAGCCUUUCGAAAGAAAGAUUAAUACCUGAUAGUAUGGUGAGAUUGCAUGAUAGCACCAUUAAAGAUUUAUUGGUAAACGAUGGGGAUGCGUUCCAUUAGGG